rnacentral:rRNA from 1 species
CCUACGGGGGGCAGCAGUAGGGAAUCUUCCACAAUGGACGAAAGUCUGAUGGAGCAACGCCGCGUGAGUGAAGAAGGGUUUCGGCUCGUAAAGCUCUGUUGGUAGUGAAGAAAGAUAGAGGUAGUAACUGGCCUUUAUUUGACGGUAAUUACUUAGAAAGUAACGGCUAACUACGUGCCAGCAGCCGCGGUAAUACGUAGGUGGCAAGCGUUGUCCGGAUUUAUUGGGCGUAAAGCGAGUGCAGGCGGUUCAAUAAGUCUGAUGUGAAAUCCCUCGGCUAAACCGGGGAAUUGCAUCAGAAACUGUUGAACGUGAGUGCAGAAGAGGAGAGUGGAACUCCAUGUGUAGCGGUGGAAUGCGUAGAUAUAUGGAAGAACACCAGUGGCGAAGGCGGCUCUCUGGUCUGCAACUGACGCUGAGGCUCGAAAGCAUGGGUAGCGAACAGGAUUAGAUACCCUUGUAGUC